GACGAACGCUGGCGGCGUGCCUAAUACAUGCAAGUCGAACGAGAGCGACCGGUGCUUGCACUGGUCAAUCUAGUGGCGAACGGGUGAGUAACACGUGGGUAACCUGCCCAUCAGAGGGGGAUAACAUCCGGAAACGGAUGCUAAAACCGCAUAGGUCUUCGAACCGCAUGGUUUGAAGAGGAAAAGAGGCGCAAGCUUCUGCUGAUGGAUGGACCCGCGGUGCAUUAGCUAGUUGGUGAGGUAACGGCUCACCAAGGCCGUGAUGCAUAGCCGACCUGAGAGGGUGAUCGGCCACAUUGGGACUGAGACACGGCCCAAACUCCUACGGGAGGCAGCAGUAGGGAAUCUUCCGCAAUGGACGCAAGUCUGACGGAGCAACGCCGCGUGAGUGAAGAAGGUUUUCGGAUCGUAAAGCUCUGUUGUUAGAGAAGAACAAGUGCUAGAGUAACUGUUAGCGCCUUGACGGUAUCUAACCAGAAAGCCACGGCUAACUACGUG
rnacentral:rRNA from 1 species